UUCAGUUUGUCUGUGAUGUGUACGCCGAGGAAUAAUAGCAGAGCCUCCGUGUGCGUCAAAAGGGAGGAGAUAUCUAAUCAAUGGAAGGUGGAAUUAAAAGUUAAAGGAUAAGGAUAGGCUACAAUAACCAAGAGCCAACAGGAUGUGAAUUGGCUGGACCAAGAGUUCUUCCCACACCUGUCUGAGCUCUCUGACCUCACCUUCCUUUCCCCACUGGGAAACAACCCCUGGGUUGGGAAGAAUGCCGAAGAAUGCCGUUCCAAGUCUGCCACCUUCAACGCCCCUCGGUAACACAUCCCAGACCCCAUAUGGAACAUAUCUCCACCCAUCAUCAUGGCAAACCCAAGGACAAGAGCACCCUUACAUCCAACCAGCAGAGCAGACAGGAUGAACCAGAAGACUACUGGGAAUAUGACUGAAUUAUCUCCACUCAUCCAAUGCUGACUUUACGGUUCAAAUCAGAAUUCAUUGUGAAUGUUAGUUGGUUGUUUUAAAGAUGAAUUCCCACAAAUAGGUUUGAAAGCAUGUUAAUAUUUAUUUAUAUUUAAGAUA